rnacentral:rRNA from 1 species
UGGGGAAUAUUGCACAAUGGGCGCAAGCCUGAUGCAGCCAUGCCGCGUGUAUGAAGAAGGCCUUCGGGUUGUAAAGUACUUUCAGUCGGGAGGAAGGUGUCAAGGUUAAUAACCUUGGCAAUUGACGUUACCGACAGAAGAAGCACCGGCUAACUCCGUGCCAGCAGCCGCGGUAAUACGGAGGGUGCAAGCGUUAAUCGGAAUUACUGGGCGUAAAGCGCACGCAGGCGGUUGAUUGAGUCAGAUGUGAAAUCCCCGGGCUUAACCCGGGAAUUGCAUCUGAUACUGGUCAGCUAGAGUCUUGUAGAGGGGGGUAGAAUUCCAUGUGUAGCGGUGAAAUGCGUAGAGAUGUGGAGGAAUACCGGUGGCGAAGGCGGCCCCCUGGACAAAGACUGAUGCUCAGGUGCGAAAGCGUGGGGAGCAAACAGG